GACGAACCGAGCGAACGUUGUUCGGAAUCACUGGGCUUAAAGGGCGCGUAGGCGGGUGCUCAAGUCCGGGGUGAAAUCCUCCAGCUCAACUGGAGAACUGCCUCGGAUACUGGGUGCCUUGAGGGUGGUAGGGGUAUGCGGAACUAUCGGUGGAGCGGUGAAAUGCGUUGAUAUCGAUAGGAACUCCGGUGGCGAAGGCGGCAUACUGGACCACAUCUGACGCUGAGGCGCGAAAGCCAGGGGAGCAAACGGG
rnacentral:rRNA from 1 species